rnacentral:antisense_RNA from 20 species
GAUAGCCAAAAAUCACGGUAGAAUUCCAGGUAGGGUGAGAAAUAACUCGCACCUCACCCAAAUUGGCAUCAUACAAGCCGCCAAAAAACAUAGACUUGGCAACCAGUAAGCCAGCACCUAAACCCAGUAAUAUUAAGUGAAUGCCCAAAAUAGUUGUCAUUUUGUUGGCAUCCUCCCA